rnacentral:lncRNA from 1 species
ACUCAUUCCAACAAAAAAUAUAUGAGAACAAAACCAUGUCCUUAUUUCACAGGUUUUUGAAAAAAUUGACAAGUUGAUGUCCCAUGUAACUAGGAUAUUCUUAUCAAAUACUUCCUUUCAUUCAACCAUGUGAUAAUUUUUGGAGAACUCAUUAUGUGCCAGGGGUUAGCAACCGUGCCUAUUCAUAUAGAUAUGCUGCCUUCAAGGAACCUACAGGCUGUCAACAAGGAGGCAAUUUCAGGACACUGUGGGAACUUCUAGGAUCAAGGAAUUCAUUUCCACAAGACUGCAACUGAUACUAUUUGGCCACCAGCAAAAGAACAACCCUACUGGGUGGAAUUUUCCCUCAAGAUAUUUUAGAGGAUGCCUUGCUUUCAAACGCUGGCCAAUGACCUAAUGAGAAAAGAGGAAAGUUUGCUAUUUUUCAAUACAAGAGCCACAGAAGCAUCGGAGCACUGGCCUUAUUUCAGGUUGCUGGAACAGAAUGCCGUGAUCGGAUCUGGUGAGACUCUUUCUGGUUUGCAGCUGGUGGUCUUCUCCUUAUUAAGACCUCACAGAGGUGGGGGGAAUCUAGUGUCCCUUCCUUUUAUAAAAGCGUUACUCCCAUCACGAGGGCCCCACUCUCAGGACCUAAUCUAA